ACGAACGCUGGCGGCGUGCUUAACACAUGCAAGUCGAACGGUGAAGGGGUCUGCUUUUGUGGGCCCUGGAUGAGUGGCGAACGGGUGAGUAACACGUGAGUAACCUGCCCCCUUCUUCUGGAUAACCGCAUGAAAGUGUGGCUAAUACGGGAUAUUCUGGGUCUGUCGCAUGAUGGGUCUGGGAAAGAUUGCGCCUUUGGGUGUUUUUGGUGGGGGAUGGGCUCGCGGCCUAUCAGCUUGUUGGUGGGGUGAUGGCCUACCAAGGCGGUGACGGGUAGCCGGCCUGAGAGGGUGGACGGUCACACUGGGACUGAGACACGGCCCAGACGCCUACGGGAGGCAGCAGUGGGGAAUAUUGCACAAUGGGCGCAAGCCUGAUGCAGCGACGCCGCGUGAGGGAUGGAGGCCUUCGGGUUGUAAACCUCUUUCGCCAGUGAAGCAGGCCUGCUCCUUGUGGGUGGGUUGACGGUAGCUGGAUAAGAAGCGCCGGCUAACUACGUG
rnacentral:rRNA from 1 species